rnacentral:ncRNA from 1 species
GAAUAGAGGCGCGGCUGAUCAAUAGUACCGCGCGGUAGCCCCUCAAUGGGUGAUGACCGCGCGCGAAAGGGAUAGCCGCCGAAACGGAAGGCAUGGUUGAGCAGCCUUGCGUUGGGCAGCGGAAGAAGAUUUCGCUGACUGUCACGGCAGGUGCCGUGGUGCGCUAUUCG